rnacentral:ncRNA from 1 species
AUAAAGUUUUGGUCCUAAACUUGCCGUUGUUUUUAAUCAAAAUUACACAUGCAAGCCUCCACACACCAGUGAGAAUGCCCAUAAAACCCAGACAGCCAUACGGAGCGGGUAUCAGGAACGCCCAACUUGCAGCCUAUAACACCUUGCUACGCCACACCCUCACGGGCCCACAGCAGUGAUUAACAUUAAAACAUAAGCGAAAGCUUGACUUAGCUAUGAUGACCAGGGCCGGUUAAUUUCGUGCCAGCCACCGCGGUUAUACGAAAGGCCCAAGACAACGACCCCCGGCGUAAAGCGUGGCCAAAGACAGUUAAACUUUAAUGGGGAACCCUUGCUCAGUCGUAAAACACCCCGCAUAUCGGAAACCCAUCAACAAAAUGCCCUUAAACAAAAAACUACUUGACCCACGAAAGCCAAGGAACAAACUGGGAUUAGAUACCCCACUAUGCUUGGCUGUUAACCUAAGGUAGCAUAAACACACCCCUACUCGCCAGAGAACUACAAGUGAAAAACUUAAAACUCCAAGGACUUGGCGGUGCCCCACAUCAGCCUAGAGGAGCCUGUCCUAUAAUCGAUACUCCACGCUCUACCCAACCACCUUUUGCCCUCAGCCUAUAUACCGCCGUCGUCAACCCACCCUAUGAAAGAAGCACAGUGGGUAAAACAGUUACCAACUAGCACGUCAGGUCAAGGUGUAGCACAUAGGGUGGAAGAGAUGGGCUACAUUUUCUAUUUCAGAAAACACGAACAGCUCAAUGAAACUUGGACUAAAAGGCGGAUUUAGAAGUCAGAUAAACCAGCAUUUUUAUCUUAAACUCGCUCUGGGGCGCGCACACACCGC